AAAUUACAGGAUUUUAUAAAUAAGAUUUUGGGUUAACCAAACAAAACAAAAUUGGGGCAAACUUCAUAAAAAUUUCUGAAAGAAAAAAAAUGGAAAAGGGUAACAUUGAGGCCUCAAAUGAUCACGAGAAGUGUAUGCCAGCCACAUUGAACAGAGAGAGCAGGUAUAAAAACUCCUCUUGUGAGAGUUUAGAGGAUCUCUUCUCAUAAAAGUUUUUCUCUUUCAACACAGCUAAAACUUUUUCUUUGAAUUCAGACACCUCAGCAUCUGCAUCACCAUCCUCUACCUCCAUCUCAUCAUCUGUUCCAUCAUCCAAGUCCAU
rnacentral:misc_RNA from 1 species